AUCUAUAUAAUAUAAAAAGUAUAUUAAACUUCCAAUUUAAAAGUCUAUUAAUAGUAUAGGUA
rnacentral:tRNA from 1 species